rnacentral:tRNA from 1 species
GGUAUUGUGGCUCAGUGGUAGAGUGCUUUCCUGGCAUGUGUGAGGUGUUGAGUUUGAUUCUCAGCACCA